GAUAAAGCGUUGAUGGGGAGGAGUAGUUGAUAAUGAAGCCUUACAGAGAGUCGGUGGUUGCUGGAAACCGAUGGUUCAUGUCGACGAACAUCGCCCUUGAGUGCUAAGCUGAAGCAUUUGCCUAGGUUUAGACGGUAGCUCCGUUACUAGCUAGACUCAUUUUUAAAGAGUCACUGAGGCAAGAAAUAUUCUUGCAAAGAAGGGUGGUACCACGAAAUCUUUCGUCCCUUCA
rnacentral:ncRNA from 1 species